GAUGAAGAACGUAGCAAAAUGCGAUAAGUAAUGUGAAUUGCAGAAUUCAGUGAAUCAUCGAAUCUUUGAACGCACAUUGCGCCCGCCAGUAUUCUGGCGGGCAUGCCUGUUCGAGCGUCAUUUCAACCCUCAAGCCCUCGGGUUUGGUGUUGGGGAUCGGCGAGCCUUUCUGGCAAGCCGGCCCCGAAAUCUAGUGGCGGUCUCGCUGCAGCCUGCAUUGCGUAGUAGUAAAACCCUCGCAACUGGAACGCGGCGCGGCCAAGCCGUUAAACCCCCAACUUCUGAAUGUUGACCUCGGAUCAGGUAGGAAUACCCGCUGAACUUAAGCAUAUCAAUAAGCGGAGGA
rnacentral:misc_RNA from 1 species